UACGUGACAUGGACUGACAAAAUCGUCGAGCAGACCACCAUGAACAGCAACAACAACGUACAACAACUGGAGCAUCAGGGUACAACUUACAUCGACGAAGAGGAAGACGAGGACGUUCAGUGCACUGAUGGAAAAUCCAUUGACAAUCCUCCAUCUGAGAUCCUUUACGAUGGUCCGAACAACCCUCACUCUCCACACGCGCUUCAAACUGAUGGUGGUGGUGGUGUCAUGGAUGGGGUAGACGCUGUUGCACUCUAUGACGCUGGAAGCUCUGAUAUGACUCCUGCGGUUGCACCGGUUAGCGGGGAGAGUGGCGCUGAUCAGCUUACACUGUCGUUUCAGGGAGAAGUCUAUGUUUUCGAUUCCGUUUCCCCUGAGAAGGUUCAGGCAGUGUUAUUACUGUUGGGUGGAUAUGAAGUACCCACUGGCAUUCCUACUGCUGGGAUGGCUCCUCAAAACCAGAGGGGUUUGGGUGAGUAUCCUGGAAGAUUAAGUCAGCCACAAAGAGCUGCUUCUUUAAACCGGUUCAGGGAAAAGAGAAAAGAGCGAUGUUUUGAUAAAAAGAUUCGUUAUACUGUGCGCAAGGAAGUUGCUCUCAGGAUGCAGCGUAAGAAAGGUCAGUUUACAUCGUCCAAGUUGCUUUCUGAUGAACCGGGUCCAUCACCUGCAGAUUGGAGUGGAAGUUCUGGUCUAGAAGGACACGAAACUUUAUGUAGGCAUUGUGGAACAAGCUCAAAGUCAACCCCUAUGAUGCGUCGUGGACCACAUGGACCGAGGACAUUGUGCAAUGCUUGCGGUCUCAAGUGGGCCAACAAGGGAGUCUUAAGAGACCUUUCUAAAGUUCCAGUUGGAGCCCAACAUCAUACUCCGAAGGCUAGUGAACUUAGCAAUGGUGGAGAUAACAUGACACCUGCUGCUAAGCCCGUGACAACUUAUAAUGGUGACAAUUUGGCCUUGACUGCUGAACAGUAGUCGUUGCGGAGUUUGAAGGCUGGCAGGGACUGUCAAGAGUGGUGAAAUAUGGGGAAUUGGGUUGCUUAUGGAGGCAAGCUGCUGGAGGCCCCUUGGUUCUUGAGGCAGCAAACAUGUCAACUGAUUGAUGAUGAUGGGCUCCGGUGCUUUGAUCUUGAAUUCUGAUGCAGUGAUCGAGGCUGAUGAAGGGUGGCCUGGAGCGGCGAUCAGAGAUUAAUCGAGUUAGGUGUUGGCUGCUUGUGCUUGAUGGUGAAACUCUUGCACUUCGAAUUGGCUUAUGCUUUGCUAAGCUGAUGGACUUUGGGUUGGUAUUGCGGAAUGCGACGUGCCAUUGGGCCCUCUUUGCUCUAAUUUUGCUUGAUGCCGUAUUUUUAGUGCAAGAAAAAUGCUCAAGAGACGGUGAUAAUUUUUCUCUGAUUGCAUAUAACAGGGUUGAAUAUUUGCAAUUUUCAUUAGGUGUGAUAUUAAUAAAUGAAAGUUCGCCUAUUUUUUCAAUAAACAUUAAAUUU